GACAAUGAGAAGAAGGCAAGCAUAAUGGGGGGAAAAGUGAGAAGACAAAAUGGGGGGGGGGGGGGGAGAUUUUGGUACCAGAGGUUUAUUGCGCCAAGGCAAGAAAAAUAUUCCUGCGACCGACAGGAAUGACGCCUUCGAUCAUGCGGGGAAAUAAAGAAUGACACUCUGAGCCGAUUGUUUGUUGCAAAGCUAUUUCCCAAAAUGCCGGACCUUAUGGUGAGAUCCUCUCGGCCGCUUGCCAGAUGAUUGUCUGCCGACCAUCAUUUGAAUAAAUGGGAUCCGGAAUCGUCAGAUGAGUGAACUCCCUCUGGAUCGCCAGCCGAGCUUCAUCCCGAGAUCCUCCAGAUGAUAUGGAUUCAAAGGAAUUCUUCUUUUAGGAUCGCGAUGAAGAAAAUUACAGGUUACGCAUCCAGCAGACGUUCGACCCCCAUUCCAGUACGCAGUGCAAACAAAAAAGGUUGUGCUUCGAGCAGAAGUAGGGACUGGUUUCAAGGACAAUAACAACCACACAAGAUCCCAUUCACUUCCACCAAAGAAUAAACCAGAUGUGGACACAACUUUGCGAGAUUUUGUGCGCAAUAUUUUGAGCAAACGGUAGAGGAGGAGAAUUUGGAGGAAAAAAGUGA